GACGAACGCUGGCGGCGUGCUUAACACAUGCAAGUCGAACGGAAAGGCCCUGCUUUUGUGGGGUGCUCGAGUGGCGAACGGGUGAGUAACACGUGAGUAACCUGCCCUUGACUUUGGGAUAACUUCAGGAAACUGGGGCUAAUACCGGAUAGGAGCUCCUGCUGCAUGGUGGGGGUUGGAAAGUUUCGGCGGUUGGGGAUGGACUCGCGGCUUAUCAGCUUGUUGGUGGGGUAGUGGCUUACCAAGGCUUUGACGGGUAGCCGGCCUGAGAGGGUGACCGGCCACAUUGGGACUGAGAUACGGCCCAGACUCCUACGGGGGGCAGCAGUGGGGAAUAUUGCACAAUGGGCGGAAGCCUGAUGCAGCAACGCCGCGUGCGGGAUGACGGCCUUCGGGUUGUAAACCGCUUUCGCCUGUGACGAAGCGUAAGUGACGGUAAUGGGUAAAGAAGCACCGGCUAACUACGU
rnacentral:rRNA from 1 species